rnacentral:rRNA from 1 species
UGCAGCAGGCGCGAAAACUUUACAAUGCGAGAAAUCGUGAUAAGGGAACCCCGAGUGCCCGUAAAUUCGGGCUGUCCAUCAGCGUAAAAAACUGGUGAAGAAAGGGCCGGGCAAGACCGGUGCCAGCCGCCGCGGUAAUAC